rnacentral:rRNA from 1 species
UACGUAGGUGACCAGCGUUGUCCGGAUUUACUGGGCGUAAAGAGCGCGCAGGCGGUCGUUCAAGUCGAGUGUGAAAGCCCCCGGCUCAACUGGGGAGGGUCACUCGAUACUGAUCGACUUGAAGGCAGGAGAGGGAAGCGGAAUUCCCGGUGUAGUGGUGAAAUGCGUAGAUAUCGGGAGGAACACCAGUGGCGAAGGCGGCCUUCUGGACUGACACUGACGCUGAGGCGCGAAAGCCAGGGGAGCAAACGGG